rnacentral:rRNA from 1 species
UUUAUGGAGAGUUUGAUCCUGGCUCAGGAUGAACGCUGGCGGCGUGCCUAAUACAUGCAAGUCGAGCGAACGGACGAGAAGCUUGCUUCUCUGAUGUUAGCGGCGGACGGGUGAGUAACACGUGGAUAACCUACCCAUAAGACUGGGAUAACUUCGGGAAACCGGAGCUAAUACCGGAUAAUAUUUUGAACCGCAUGGUUCAAAAGUGAAAGACGGUCUUGCUGUCACUUAUGGAUGGAUCCGCGCUGCAUUAGCUAGUUGGUAAGGUAACGGCUUACCAAGGCAACGAUGCAUAGCCGACCUGAGAGGGUGAUCGGCCACACUGGAACUGAGACACGGUCCAGACUCCUACGGGAGGCAGCAGUAGGGAAUCUUC